AGCCUGCUCUCCUGGGGCUCUGGUGAAUAACUCACAGCUUUCCCAACUAUUGUGAAGCAACCUCAAUGGGAGGGGCUGGGCAAUCCCUGAGGGCAAUCCUCCUCCACCUCUUCCUUCUCCAAGGGCUGCAGGUGCAGCUGAAAGCACACCACAGCUGGUGAGGGGUGGGGCACAGAAACCCUGAAAAGAGAUCCCAGGGCAGCUGGGUGGAGUGCUGACAUCCUCACUAUUAGGGUGAACAAGAAUUGCCUAGGGAGAUGGAGUGAGAAGAGAGACGGUCAAGACCGCUGUUACCGAGGGCGUCCAAAAUGUGCUAAUUAGAACAGAAGCGUAGAAAGGAGGCUGGGAAGGACUAUUGUUUCACAACCACCCUGCAAAGACAGCAGCAAUAGAGGUUGGGAGGAGAGGCUGGAGCCAUUCCCCUGCAUCCCAGGAGACAAAGAUCCCAGAAAUGCUGAAAUUAUCCUUUAGAGGAGUUUCUUUAUCUUCUGAGGAAGGCCAGCUGGAACCUUCUGAAAUGAUUCCCAUUCAGCAUGCAGCCACAGGCAGUACCAAUGAUGAGUUCCACAACCUGUCCUAAGAGAAUUUUCAUUAUCCUAGAGGAAUACGAUAGGAUGACCACCUGGGAACUAGAUGCUUAAUGUGCUAUCCUGGAGUUUCAGAUGAGAAGCACCAAAUAUGUUUACCCAUGCUAUAGGCCAAAAGGUAACAGUUGUAUAGGACUGUGAACCUGAAGUCAGUUAAAUAUUUGGGGAUGUGGUUUCAGAAUUAAUGGUCUGUAGCUCUUCUUUCUGGCAGUGACUGGAGAGCAGGGCCUGUUGUCUAUUAAGGCCACUCCUAGUUCAUGAAAGUAAAACCAUGUCAACUGCAUAUAAAAGAAUGUUUAUCUUUCUGUUCUCCUAGGAGGGAAUUGGAGGGGCCAGGCCUUGUUGAUCCGAAUGUGGUAGCAUAUCAUCGAUGUUUCAACGGAAAAGAAAAGUGUGUUCAACAUUCAUUCAGUGUUUCUCCUCGUUGGAAAUGAGGAUUAAGGCAAUUCUGCAUUUAUUCGUAAUGAUAUCCCUGGCACCAGUCUAGUGCCAGUCACAUAGUAUGUGAUCAGCAACUGUUUAUUCAGUGAUCAAUGAUGCCUGCUCCUUUAAAAGACUGCCUUGCUACACCUCACUCUCAUGUAAUGUCGAGAUGAUAGUUCUCUAUCCGAAUGGGAAUAGAGCAUUUGGCUGGCCAAGCUGGGUCCCAGGUGUUGCUACUGUAGACAGGCCCACUUUUCACCCCUUAUUUGCAUCUGUUUGCCACCAUUCCUUUAAUGGCAUGGCGAACAUUUUCUUUUGGAAAGAGGCAGAAAGGAAAAAGAGAUAUUGGCUAGAAUGGCAGGAACAACUAUUUUGAGUCUGGUCUGGCAGAAAGAGUUUGAACCCACAUCCAGAGGAAUGAGAGCCAGAGCACAGGAGAGCUGUUCUCCUGAGAAGGUGAGAUUCUGGCAUGGAUCCGCUGCUUUGGGGCCCAGGUGAUCAUGUAGCCAUGGAAGCUUCUAUUCUCUUUUCUGCGCAGAUCCACAGCCUGCUCUGGGCACAUCACAAACGGCAGCCUGGGUGGGAAACAGCUAUCUGGGGACGCUCACUGUCCCGGGGCAGCAGGGGCUUCUUCAGGCAGCUCUAUGGGAGCCGUAGAGGGAGGAAAGGAAGGAGACGCAGGAAAGGAAAGAAGUGUGGGCACCUGGCGCCCAUUGAAGCUCCAACAACAAACUAUAGGCGCAGGCAAGCUCCUUUCUGGAGCAUAUACGGGGUUCAAAACCAUAGCUGUGUUUGUGUGUGUGUGUGUGUGUGUGUGUGUGUGUGUGUGUGUGUGUAUGAUCACCAGCUGGUGAGAUCUGGGGAUAUUGAUUUGUGCUCCAAAUUACUACCUUUGUACCUAUAAGAAACCAAGCACAAAACAGAUACCUACUUCGGUAGCAAAUAGACAAGGAAGGGAAAACAAACUCCACACCAAAAAAUCAUCUAUAAUCCUAAACAGAUUUUUCCACAGCUUGGUACAAAGAAUGGUCUUUGUGUCAAAUAAAAAUUCCAGGUUUGCUGAGGUCAGGAGUUCGAGACCAGCCUGACCAACAUGGAGUAAUCUCAUCUCUACUGAAAAUACAAAAAAUUAGCCAGGUGUGGUGGUGGAUGCCUCUAAUCCCAGCUACUCGGGAGGCCAAGGCAGGAGAAUUGCUUGAACCCGGGAGGCAGAAGUUGCCGUGAGCCAAGAUGACACCAUUGCACUUUAG